CUAUGAAAAGGAACAGUUCAAGUAUGCAGGGUGAGACCAAAUCUACGUGGAGGGUAACAAUAGCUUCAGCUUGGAAACUAGAGUAAUAUAGAGUUAAUACUUCAGUCACUUCAGACAAGAUGCCACAUUCUUGCCUGAAGCACUGGCAAUAAAAGAAAGGUGUUAGAUACAAUAGAGAAGCACUUCCAAGUGCCCCAGGCAUGACCAGAGUGAAGCAGACAUCACUUCUGCAUCAUCACUCUUGAUUGAGCUUCAAGCAAGAUUAGUUUUAACUUAUAGCAGAAUCUCAGGGCGCGGGGAAGAAGAUGCGGCCUGGUGAUCAUCAUGAAGAUUACCUAUCCACCUACUCUGCUUCAGGACUCAAUUCUCUUAGCCAUAUUUUCAUUUGGUGCCAAUGGAGGGAAGAGAAGGGCAUGCUUUCUGUUGUCUCUGUCGUCAAAACCAGCUCCAGUCUUUAGGGCAAAUGUUCCCCUAUUUGAAAAGCAUUCCUUCACCUGGAGAAGCAGAUUUAAUUAAAUUCUCUUGGGGAGCCUUGGUGGCUCAGUCAGGUGAGUGUCCCAGUUCGGCUGAGGUCAUGGUCUCCCGGUUUAUGAGUUUGAGCCCCACAUCCAGCUCGCUGCCAUUAGCCUGUCAGCAUCAGCGCAGAGCCAGGUUUGGAUAUUCUGUCUUCCUCUCUCUGCCCCUCCCCCACUUGCGCUCGCCCCAAAAUAAAUAUUUAAAUAAAUAAAUAAAUAAAUAAAUACUCUUUACUGAAGUAUUCAGAAACUGUA